rnacentral:rRNA from 1 species
UGGGGAAUAUUGCACAAUGGGCGCAAGCCUGAUGCAGCCAUGCCGCGUGUAUGAAGAAGGCCUUCGGGUUGUAAAGUACUUUCAGCGGGGAGGAAGGGAGUAAAGUUAAUACCUUUGCUCAUUGACGUUACCCGCAGAAGAAGCACCGGCUAACUCCGUGCCAGCAGCCGCGGUAAUACGGAGGGUGCAAGCGUUAAUCGGAAUUACUGGGCGUAAAGCGCACGCAUGCGGUUUGUUAAGUCAGAUGUGAAAUCCCCGGGCUCAACCUGCGAACUGCAUCUGAUACUAGCAAGCUUGAUUCUCGUAGAGGGGGGUAGAAUGCCAGGUUUAUCGGUGAAUUACGUAGAGAUCUGGCGGAAUACCGGUGGCGAAGGCGGCCCCCUGGACGAAGACUGACGCUCAGGUGCGAAAGCGUGGGGAGCAAACAGG